AACGAACGGUGGCGGCGUGGAUAAGACAUGCAAGUCGAACGGGAUUUUACUUGUAGCAAUAUGAGUAAAGUUCAGUGGCGCAAGGGUGCGUAACACGUGGGCAAUCUGCCCGGAGACGCGGGAUAGCUCGGCGAAAGUCGAAUUAAUACCGCAUGUGGCUACUGAGGACAUCCUCGGGACGCUAAAGAUGGCGCAAGCUGUCAUUUCCGGAUGAGCCCGCGGCCUAUCAGCUAGUUGGCGGGGUUAAAGCCCACCAAGGCUAUGACGGGUAGCUGGUCUGAGAGGACGACCAGCCACACUGGAACUGAGACACGGUCCAGACACCUACGGGUGGCAGCAGUCGAGAAUUUUUCUCAAUGGGGGAAACCCUGAAGGAGCGACGCCGCGUGGAGGACGAAGGUCUUCGGAUUGUAAACUCCUGUCAUUUGGGAACAAAUAUGCGGUUUAACUGACCGCAAAAUGAUAGUACCAGAAGAGGAAGGGACGGCUAACUCUGUGCCAGCCGCCGCGGUAAUAC
rnacentral:rRNA from 1 species